UCGCUCAUUCCCAUCAUCCCACCCUCGUCAAUACACAUUCGGGAUUUCGGUCUUCCAUGCCUCCUCCUACUCCUCCAAAACCUCCUGCACAUUCGCAGCACCCAUGAGUAGCACAAUAGCCCCUAUACCUUAGGAGGAGUUCCCCCUCCACCCCCCCGCCCCCACCUCCUCUACCUACCUCGACCGCCAAACCUAGUUUAGCAGCAGCCCUUAGUAAGGAAUUGGAGCGACGCAGUGCCCAAGAGGCACAGUCAGGUGCAAGUGAAGAUGCAAAAGCUCAAUUUUUCAG